rnacentral:rRNA from 1 species
UACGUAGGGACCAAGCGUUGUUCGGAUUUACUGGGCGUAAAGGGCGCGUAGGCGGCGUGGUAAGUCACUUGUGAAAUCUCUGAGCUUAACUCAGAACGGCCAAGUGAUACUGCUGUGCUAGAGUGCAGAAGGGGCAAUCGGAAUUCUUGGUGUAGCGGUGAAAUGCGUAGAUAUCAAGAGGAACACCUGAGGUGAAGACGGGUUGCUGGGCUGACACUGACGCUGAGGCGCGAAAGCUAGGGGAGCAACGGG